UAGGGAAUCUUCGGCAAUGUACGAAAGUCUGACCGAGCAACGCCGCGUGAGUGAAGAAGGUUUUCGGAUCGUAAAACUCUGUUGUUAGAGAAGAACAAGGACGUUAGUAACUGAACGUCCCCUGACGGUAUCUAACCAGAAAGCCACGGCUAACUACGUGCCAGCAGCCGCGGUAAUACGUAGGUGGCAAGCGUUGUCCGGAUUUAUUGGGCGUAAAGCGAGCGCAGGCGGUUUCUUAAGUCUGAUGUGAAAGCCCCCGGCUCAACCGGGGAGGGUCAUUGGAGACUGGGAGACUUGAGUGCAGAAGAGGAGAGUGGAAUUCCAUGUGUAGCGGUGAGAUGCGUAGAUAUAUGGGGGAACAACAGUGGCGAAGGCGGCUCUCUGGUAUGUAACUGACGCUGAGGCUCGAAAGCGUGGGGAGCAAACAGG
rnacentral:rRNA from 1 species